rnacentral:rRNA from 1 species
CGGCCGCGUCGACGCAAGUCGAGCGCAAAGAUCAGGAGCUUGCUCCUGUGAUUUGAGCGGCGGACGGGUGAGUAACACGUAGGCAGCCUACCCUUGAGAUUGGGAUAACUACCGGAAACGGUAGCUAAUACCGGAUACGACCUUUCCACAUAAGUGGAAUUGUUAAAAGGCGGAUUUAUCUGCCGCUCAUGGAUGGGCCUGCGGUGCAUUAGCUAGUUGGUGAGGUAAAGGCUCACCAAGGCGACGAUCCGUAACUGGUCUGAGAGGAUGAUCAGUCACACUGGAACUGAGACACGGUCCAGACUCCUACGGGAGGCAGCAGUGGGGAAUAUUGGACAAUGGGCGAAAGCCUGAUCCAGCCAUGCCGCGUGUGUGAAGAAGGUCUUCGGAUUGUAAAGCACUUUAAGUUGGGAGGAAGGGCAGUAAGUUAAUACCUUGCUGUUUUGACGUUACCAACAGAAUAAGCACCGGCUAACUUCGUGCCAGCAGCCGCGGUAAUACGAAGGGUGCAAGCGUUAA